GUCCGCAACGAGACGCAACCCCCUAUUCGUUUAGUUGCCAUCAUUCAGUUGGGCGACUCUAGCGAGACUGCCGGUAAUAAACCGGAAGGAAGGUGGGGAGUGACGUCAAAUCAUCAUGCCCCUUAUGACCUGGGCUACACACGUGCUACAAUGGUUGGUACAACGAGUUGCGAGUCGGUGACGGCGAGCUAAUCUCUUAAAGCCAAUCUCAGUUCGGAUUGUAGGCUGCAACUCGCCUACAUGAAGUCGGAAUCGCUAGUAAUCGCGGAUCAGCACGCCGCGGUGAAUACGUUCCCGGGCCUU
rnacentral:rRNA from 1 species